AUGACUCUAUCAUCUGUUUUACAUGUUCCCUCAUUCCCAAUCAAUUUGCUAUCCAUCAGCUGCAUUACAAGAGAACUUAAUUGUGCUGUAAUCUUCUUCCCAACAUGGUGUUUAUUUCUGGAACUUGGGACUUGGAAAAUCCUUGGGACAGGAAUUAUGCGAGGUGGUCUAUACUACUUGGAUGAUGAUAUGGCACCUAUGGUUGCUGCUGUGCUGUCUCAGUCACCAUUGGAAGAAUUUCUUCUUCAUCAUCGCAGGCUGGGACACAUGUCCUUUGACACCCUGGGCCUGGACAACGAGACAGGGGGAGAUGACAGCAGAGAAGGCAAUGAUGUAGCACCAGAGAAGAUGAUAGUUGGGGUUAUACCUAUUGAAGAUGUGCAAGACUAUGCAGGGCAAGAAAAUGAACAGAGAGAACAACAAAGUGACUCUAAUGGAGCAUUACAAUGGCCAAAACCGAAUGAGGAACGAGAAGUUCAAGUGUUUACACGGAGGCAUAGAAUUGAGAAGGAGCAAGUGCAGAGACAAGAACCUAACCCACCGGAGUGUGGUACAGAAACUCAAGAGCUUACUGAUACAUAUGAUUUAGAUGAUGGUACGCUUCCUCAUUCUCUUUCACAUGAGGACUUAGAUGCUCCUAUUGCUCUUAGGAAGCAACCCCGCACUACUGCUGGGAAAUUACCAUCAAAGCUAUCUCCAUAUGAUGUCUCAAAUUAUGUGUCAUAUGCAUCCUUGGGUUCCAAGUAUAAGUCAUUCGUUGCAGCUUUAGAUUCUAUAGAUCCUAUACCACAUGACUGGCAAGUAGCAAUAAAGGACCCAAGAUGGAGAACAACAAUGUUUGAAGAGAUGGAAGCACUUGACAAAAACAAUACUUGGAUCCUCACCACUCUUCCUGCAGGGAAAAAGACUGUGGGUUGUAAAUGGGUAUUCACUGUAAAACAGACUCCAGAAGGUAAAGUGGAGAGGUACAAGGCCAGGUUAGUAGCAAAGGGGUAUAGCCAAACCUAUGGAGUAGAUUAUGAUGAAACUUUUGCCCCAGUAGCGAAAAUGAACACCGUCAGAACAAUAAUCUCAAUUGCAGCAAACCGUAAUUGGAAGUUGUUUCAAAUGGAUGUUAAAAAUGCAUUUCUCCAUGGAGACUUGCAGGAAGAGGUGUAUAUGGAGAUUCCUCUAGGAUUCAAUAGCCGUGAGACUGAAGGCAAGGUUUGUAAACUAAAAAAAUCCCUCUAUGGUCUGAAACAAUCACCUCGAGCAUGGUUUGAAAGGUUUAGAAAAGGAAUUUGCUCCUUGGGGUAUCGACAAAGCAAUGCUGAUCACACUCUCUUCUUUAAACAUCAUCAUGAUAAGAUUACUAUACUGACUGUAUAUGUUGAUCAUAUAGUAAUCACAGGGGAUGAUGUUGAGGAGAUAUCAUACUUGAAGAAGAUGAUGGCUAAAAUAUUUGAAGUUAAAGACUUGGGCUAUCUUCAUUAUUUUCUGGGGAUUGAAGUUGCUUAUGGGACACAAGGUAUUUACCUUUCUCAAAGGAAGUAUGUACUUGAUCUUCUUAAUGAAACAUGUAUGUUAGGAUGCAAACCAGCGGCUACACCUAUUGAGCAAAAUCAUCGUACCUUGGCAGACUCAGGUGACCCUGUAGAGAAAUACCAAUAUCAGAGGUUAGUUGGCCGUUUAAUCUAUUUAUCGCACACAAGGCCAGAUAUUGCAUAUGCAGUUAGUGUUGUAAGCCGUUAUAUGCAUGAUCCUCGUUCAGGCCAUCUAGAGGUGGUAAAUCGAAUUUUGAGAUAUCUAAAAGGUUGUCCAGGGAAGGGAAUCCUAUUUUCUAAUCAUGGACAUUUGAAGGUAGAGGGAUAUACUGAUGCAGAUUGGGCUGGAUGUCUAGAUGAUAGACGAUCUACAUCAGGUUAUUGUGUGUUUGUUGGCGAUAAUCUAGUUUGCUGGAGAAGUAAAAAGCAAAGUGUGGUGGCACGAUCUACUGCUGAGGCAGAAUUCAGGUCUAUGGCUUCUGGUUUAUUCGAUGGAGGACCACUACAACUCUAUUGUGAUAACCAAGCUGCAAUCAAUAUAGUGCAUAAUCCAGUUCAGCAUGAUAGAACUAAGCAUGUUGAAAUUGAUAGACAUUUCAUUAGAGAGAAGUUAGAUGAGGGGAGCCUUCGUGUUACUUUUGUUAGAUCUGAUAGUCAAUUGGCAGAUGUACUUACAAAAGGUGUUAGUGUUGUGUCUUUUGUAAACUUAUGUAGCAAGAUGGGACUCAUGGAUAUAUUCGCCCCAUCUUGA
rnacentral:rRNA from 1 species